rnacentral:rRNA from 1 species
AUUGAACGCUGGCGGCAGGCCUAACACAUGCAAGUCGAGCGGAGCGGCGGACGGGGGCGGAAUGCAUAGGAAUCUGCCUGGACGAGGGGGAUAACGUCCGGAAACGGGCGCUAAUACCGCAUACUAUCAGAUGAGCCUAGGUCGGAUGAGCUGGUUGGGGGGGUAAAGGCCUACCAAGGCGACGAUCCGUCACUGGUCUGAGAGGAUGAGCAGUCACCCGGGAACUGAGACACGGUCCCGACUCCUACGGGAGGCAGCAGUGGGGAAUAUUGGAAAAUGGGCGAAAGCCUGAUCCAGCCCUGCCGCGUGUGUGAAGAAGGUCUUCGGAUUUUAAAGCACUUUAAGUUGGGAGGCGUUACCAACAGAAUAAGCACCGGCUAACUGCGUGCCAGCAGCCGCGGUAAUAC